GAUGAAGAACGUAGCGAAAUGCGAUAAGUAAUGUGAAUUGCAGAAUUCAGUGAAUCAUCGAAUCUUUGAACGCACAUUGCGCCAGCCAGUACUCUGGCGGGCAUGCCUGUUCGAGCGUCAUUACAACCCUCAGGCCCCCGGGCCUGGCGUUGGGGAUCGGCGGAGCCCCCCGUGGGCACACGCCGUCCCCCAAAUACAGUGGCGGUCCCGCCGCAGCUUCCAUCGCGUAGUAGCUAACACCUCGCGCCUGGAGAGCGGCGCGGCCACGCCGUAAAACACCCAACUCUUCUGAAGUUGACCUCGAAUCAGGUAGGAAUACCCGCUGAACUUAAGCAUAUCAAUAAGCGGAGGA
rnacentral:misc_RNA from 1 species